UACGAACCGUCCAAACGUUAUUCGGAAUCACUGGGCUUAAAGGGUGCGUAGGCGGCCCGGCAAGUUGGGUGUGAAAUCCCUCGGCUCAACCGAGGAAUAGCGCCCAAAACUGCCGGGCUUGAGGGAGACAGAGGUGAGCGGAACAGCGGGUGGAGCGGUGAAAUGCGUUGAUAUCCGCUGGAACACCGGUGGCGAAAGCGGCUCACUGGGUCUUUACUGACGCUGAGGCACGAAAGCCAGGGGAGCGAACGGG
rnacentral:rRNA from 1 species